GAUGAACGCUGGCGGCGUGCCUAAUACAUGCAAGUCGAGCGAACAGACGCGGAUCUUGCUCCUCUGACGUUAGCGGCGGACGGGUGAGUAACACGUGGAUAACCUACCUAUAAGACUGGGAUCACUUCGGGAAUCCGGAUAUAAUACCAGAUAAUAUAUUGAACCGCAUUGUUCAUUAGUUAAAGACGGUUUUGCUGUCACUUAUAGCUUGAUCCGCGCCGCAUUAGCUAGUUGGUAAGGUAACGGCCUACCAAGGCGACCAUGCGUAGCCGAACUGAGAGGCUGAUAGGCCACACUGGAACUGAGACGCGGUCCAGACUACUAAGGGAGGCAGCAGUAGGGAAUCUUCCGCAAUGGGCGAAAGCCUGACGGAGCAACGCCGCGUGAGUGAUGAAGGUCCUCGGAUCGUAAAACUCUGUUAUUAGGGAAGAACAAAUGUGUAAGGAACUAUGCACGUAUUGACGGUACCGAAUCAGAAAGCCACGGCUAACUACGUG
rnacentral:rRNA from 1 species